ACUCUGUGUUACCUGAACGGGGUGACUGAGGGCUGCUGCUGCUGCUGUCUCCUUUUCCUCUCCUCCUUCCACCAUCCCUAUUCCUCCUCUCCGUCCUCCUCCUGCGUUGGCCUCUUCUUCCUCCUUCCCAUCUUAGUGGCUUUAAUGGAUGCGUGUCACUGCUGCCUGCUGCACUUGAAUGCUGUUUUAUUUGUCCUGUUAUUAUUUAUGUUCACUUAUUUGCUUUUCUGUCUCGUUAUAUUUUUGGGGAAAAUUGUGUAACUUUUUUUGUCUUAAGUUUUUUUCCUUUCUUUUCCUCUUGACUGAGUAGAUGUCAACUUACUGUUGUGCCUUUUAAUUCAAAACGGAGGGAAUAUAUAAGCAAUCAUUAUCAUUCUUCGAAACAAUGCCGUAAAAUUACAGUGCUCUCGUUCCCAAGAUCCUGUUUUUAUGUUACAUGCUUAUUUCUGUUUCUUUACAUAUAUUUUCUAAGUAUUGUUUAUUUAUGUUUUAAUAUGUUUAUGUUUGAUGUCAGUCGUUUGUUUUUAUCUGGAUUUUUCCGCUAAUUUAUUUAAACGUUUUGCUUUUUUAGAAAAAUGUAACAUUUUAAUAUUUUAUAUCCUGUUUUUUAAUUCAUUAUUAAUCUAAUUACAGUGAACAAAUUCUAUCUUUAAUACUUGACUCUGAAUAUUUGACUAAAACACCUAUAAUAAAAAGUGAUUAUGGUUCUUUAAAAGUUCUUCAGAUCUCAUGUUUCCUGUAUAACAUAAUCUAUAUUACUUAUAUUUGGGAUAUCACAUGGUAAAUAUCUUUUUUACCGACUAAAACUAACAUACUUGCAUUUUGUAUAUUCCCUGUUUAGAACUUCCAUUGGAAAGUAUCAAUUUCUAAAAAGUGACAUUUCUUAAAGCUUUUUCUGUGGUUUCUAAUUUUUGAGACAUUUUCUGUGUCACUAAGUCUUUCCUGUUUCUCCAGGGAUUUUAGACUCCAUGAAUACUGUGGAGGAGCUGAGAGAAAGCGACGAAUCUGACUCUGUAAACCUAUCACUGUCCUCACCCUCAUCACCACAUCCAUCACAUCCAUGGUCAUCCUCAUCCUAUUCCCGUCCAUCGCUCUCUCAUUUCCAUGAAAUGGCCGACCCGUACCUGCCUUCGUUCCGAGGUAAAGACUUAUCUGAUGCCCGCUCUGCUCUUGCCAAAGUCCUGACCUCCUCUGUCUCCAAAGGAGCACUGGUGAAGCGUUUCAGGAAAUCUGCCACUUUAACAAAAUUACACAGCCCCUCCUCCUACAUGUUCACAACUCAAAGGUAUUCGAAUAAUGAGGUCGUCUUUGCAGAACUUGAACCUGUUAUAACAUCCAGCCUCCCCACUGAGCCUCAGUGGCAGGAUCCUGUACAGAGGAAGGGAAUGACCACGUUCAAAGUGGUACCCUCAAAGAAGAAAAAGUCCCACGAUCCAGAACUUACCUUGGAUGUUCCCGAUCAGUAUAUAGUCGAAGAUAAUCUUGAAAGUGAAGGAUCUCGUGAGCUUGCGGAUAAUCAAACUGAGACAGAGGCGGAUCAACGUUCUCCUGCCAGAUCAGAGACUGAGGCGGAUCCAUGUUCUUCUGUCAGAUCAGAGACUGAGGCGGAUCCACGUUCUCCUGACAGAUCAGAGACUGAGGCGGAUCCAUGUUCUUCUGUCAGAUCCGAGACUGAGGAGGAUCCACGUUCUCCUGACAGAUCAGAGACUGAGGCAGAUCCAUGUUCUUCUGUCAGAUCCGAGACUGAGGAGGAUCAACGUUCUCCUGACAGAUCAGAGACUGAGGAGGAUCAACGUUCUCCUGACAGAUCAGAGACUGAGGAGGCUCCACGUUCUCCUGACAGAUCUGAGACUGAGGAUGAUCCACAUUCUCCUGGCAGAUCAGAGACCGAAAUACCUUCACAGAGUCCUGAACUUUGUUCUACUGAGAUUGAGGUUUCUCCUCCACCUCCAGUUGAUUUAGAUGAUCAGGAUUGUCCUUGCCCUCCUCUCUCUGACGUUGAAGACGCAAAGCAGAAGGGAGAAGAUGAACCUGAAGUCACAUCGGAGGUGAUACCAGCAACACCGUCGGACUGCAGUGAAGAAGAACUUCCUACUGAUGGUCAGAUCAACUCAGAGGACCAGAGUGAAUUUCUACAAAGCUCUGUAAGUUCAGACAUUGACCAGUGUAGUUCAUACACCGAUGAGGAGGAAGUGGUACAGGAAGAAGAAGAAGAAGAGGAAGAAGGGGACAUUUUCCCUCCCCCUCCUUCACCUAUCUUCUUUAAUGAAGACACAGAAGAGGAGAGUGAAGAUACUGUAGCCUCCUCUCUGCCAUCUUCCCAUCCACCAACUCCCAGCUCGAACGGGCCAGCUAACACAUUCACUGAGGACCUUCAAUAUGAGUCUUCCUCAGGCACACCUGAAGAGUCUGCAGCUGCACCAAAACCUCCAGACAAGAUGAGCUCAGCCCCCUCCAGAUUUGCACAGGCAGUGGCGUUAGCUGUUCAGAGGUCCCGUUUUCAGAGACUUGGGAAAGGUUCAGGCCCUCAGGCCCCAAGUGGUCCUCAGAGUACUCUUCCCUCACCACCCAGGACCUUAUAUCAGUUUGGUGCCUGACCGGCUUCCUCACACAUCUCUGAAUGGAAGUCCUUGUUUAGGGUGAGGAUUGAGAGCUGACCGAGGACGCCAGACUUUAAAUAAACUCCAACAGAAAGUCAGUAUGAACUGCAUCAGUUUUAUGAAAAGAAGCAACUGACUCGGCUAACUUUUUUUUUUUUUUUUUUUUUGCCUCAUUUCUUUUUGUGCUAGAAGACACCUUUUUGUCUCAUUUUAUGUUGGACUUUAUGUUCACAGGUUGAACAUAAACAUUUUCUGUUGUCAUGUAAGCCAAAUGUACAGGACACGAGUUGUUGAACUGACAACGUCCUGUGUUUUCUUUACUUCCUUUUUAAAUGCUGAUUGAAGACGUGCCAAGGCGGACGCAACGCUGACGUGAGAGCUUUUUUUGGUUUGUUCGUGUAAAGCAUAAUAGGCUUAUUUUUAUGUUUGAGCUGGACUUUGUUGGACUUUGUUUUGUUUUAAGACAUGAAGAAUGCAGUAAAACUCAUGAACUCGGUUUGAGGCUGGUUUGCUUUUUAGUCACCAGGUGGCAGAAGAGCAUUGCUUCUGAAAACGAGUGACUGUUGGUGAGUUCUGUUUCUUCAUCUGAGUUCUGGUGAAUGCAUCACAAGAAAAGAAAUAACAGUAAAUAUCCUCUAAUUAGUUGAUCUAAUGGACUUUAAUGAAUGAAUGAACAUUACUCUCAUAUUAAUUUAUCCUUUAAAUGUCUUGAUAUUUCUCUGAAGGCCAUCUUUGUCUGAGAAUCCACAUCCAUUUCAAUAAAUUUCCCAGAAUAUUUAAAACGGACAUGAGAAUUUCCUGCGUUUCCAGCAACAAACUUUAAAAAAAGAAAGAAAAAAAAAAAACAGAUAUCCUUGUUGGAAACAUCGGUUUCAUGCCAAGCAUCUCAACACCUUCCUGAAUAAACUCAGUCCACUUUGCUCACAUGCGCACACUGUUAUGUCUUUAACGGACCCAUACCUCAGGGCAAUACUGCAUAGCUAUACUUGGGUGCCAAAAGAAUCCGCACUACUAUACGUAUUGAUCCAGCCCUGGCCUUGGAGGAACAGCAAGGAGCUAUGCGAGGUAGAGACCUAGCCAGAAUCGCCUGUGGCUAAAGCUCCACGUUUGCCAGGCCUGGACUGAGUGGGCUCGCUUCAAGACUUUCUUUCUCUCUCACUGUCUCUCCCUCUCCCUCUAACAUUCCUCGCUCCACCUGAGGAGAGAGAGGGAGAGAGAGAGAGAGAGGAGGACGGGUUGCUGGUGGAUGAUGGGAGGUGACCGUUGACCCUGUCGUGUUUCCGCGGCGCUCCCCCCAGAGGGGGCGCCCGGCCCUCAAGGGCACAGCCGUGUCACACUGCCGUUGUCAUGGAGAAUGCCAUUACCGCCCCUAAGGGAGAGAGCCACGUCUAACGUUUAGAGAAAAAAAAGUCUGUGGAAAAAGAAACACAGACACUCGCUGGAGAGGAGCUCUUUUCCUGCCUAAAGCAAUGAUAUCCGAUGUAAGUGACAACUCUGGCAUUAUCCUUUUUUUUAGCAGUGAAAGGUUGAAUUUCAACCUGAGCGGCGAUGUUCAUGAUUAUGCAGACAAAAGAACGGCGGAUUCAUAAUGCAGCGCAACAUGAAAUGCUACUCUGUCAUGUACGUUUAUGAUCCAGCACGGGGCAUUAGAUGCUAUCAGCACCGAUGGACCUUUUGAACAAAAAAAACAAAACAAAAGCAAAACCCAGACGUCCUCACAAAGAGGAUUUGUUGAUAUUUGUCUCAGGAGACGAGGGUGGAGAGAGAUGCGAGCAAACAGGAGGGCUGGAAAUCCUGGAGGACACUUCAGUCCCAUGAGCACAACCUGGUUCAAACAAAUUAAUGAGGAGGCCGUGGGAUGAAUGCAGCAUCACUCAGUGGAUCAGUCCUGCUGAAACACAUACACACCUGAACAAACAUGGGCUGAUGGCCACAACGGCUCGUGUGUCAUUCACGCAGAUGUUGUGUGUCUCACAAUGAUGACCAAACAGGACUUUUCAGAGAGCUAAUUAAAUAUACACGUGCAGAAAGACAUUAUAAUGUUGGCGUGCAGGGACAUAUUGUAUUAUGUCCUGACCAUCAAUCGUGCGCUCAUUUUAGCAAUAAUCCUCUAACCAGGCCACACAUAAUGUUCUCAUGUCUCCUUAUGGGUAUCUUAUAUUUUAUGAAUAUUGGGCAUUCAAAAGUCAGUAAAAAUUCUUAAAUUUUUUACUGAAUCAUCACAAACGUUUUGUCUAAUUUCAUUCAUCACUCCUGUAUUUAUUUAUUUAUUAUAAUUUUUUUUUUUAAUCGAAAUAAGUCGAGCUCUUAUGUGUGAAAGUAUACAUUUUUGUGAAACCUAAUGUUGUCUUUUUACUUUACAUAUUUAUUAUUUCGUGGGAUUAACGUGACUCAUUCUAAUAACCAUAUUCCUGCAUGAAACCUAUGUCUGCAUGAACCAAUGUAUACAAACUACUUACCUUUUUACCUACCAUCCGAGCUUGAAAAAGAAUAAGGUGAUUUGUACAGAAAUUGAUCCUAAAGGUUGUUAAAAAAUGUUAAUGAAAAGGUCUCAAAAAGCAUCAAAUUCAAGUGUCUGAUACACCCUGAUUCAACCAUCUUAAGUCCCAUCAAUCAAACGUAGAAAAUUGUAUAUUAGAUUAUACAUAACACAAAUAGAACAAUAACACAUUCUAACAAUAUGUGAAAACCAUAAAAACAUUGGUAGUUGUAUAUAAGAAAAAUUGCCAUUAAACAUCUCUGAAC
rnacentral:lncRNA from 1 species